rnacentral:lncRNA from 1 species
UUAAUUAUAAUAAUACAAUAAUAAGUUCGGUUCUUAAAUGCAAUUAAUAAACGAAACCUAUUGGGAUAAACCGCAAAAGCACUCCAAAGGUCCAAUUUCAAUCAAUAUGUAAUAAAUUUGACCGAUUAAGGAAUCUCCUAUCAUUGCUAUAAAUUCACCAUUUCACUCAACAUCAACUCCUUUGUCUACUAUUGUGCGAGUUAGAGUCGAAAAGAAAGAGAUAAGAAAGAGAUAAGUUGAUAUGAAAUUUAUUUAUCUUGGUGGAAAGGUGUGUUCUUUUAUACCCAUUUCAACAUUUAUUCGAAAAAACUUUGGUUUGUUUCUUAAAAUAUUCAAAUGGGAUAACAGUUUUCUUUUACAUAAUCUAUGAGUUUAUAUUGAUGUUUUAUUAUGUUUUUGGUGAUUUAGUGGUUUUUUUUUUUCAAAUUAUGAUUUUAUAUUACAUAUAAAGUAUACACACAGGUUAUUGGAUACAAAAAGACAGACACUUCAUACUUCAUCAAGGUACCCUUGCAUGACUAUACUUCAUGUAUAUGGAGGUGUAAAAGGGUGGGUACGAGAAAAGUUAUUCAUUUGGAGAUAGACAUUUAUUUGGCCUAUUGGUAUUUCCUUUUUUAAUUUCUACUUUACUAUUUUUUUAAACAUAUGAUGCUUUUUUGUGAUUUAAUUGAUACUAUAUAUAGGCAAUAUAGAUGCAGAGGAAAUAUUUGAGGAGGUAUUGU